rnacentral:lncRNA from 1 species
CGGCUUAGAAGCAGCUACGAGGUAUGCAAUGUGUUAAAUAAAAGAAAUGGCAAUUUUUUCAAUUCUGCAAAUGAAAUUCUAUCGAGCCAUUGAGUUUCUGAAAUAAACUAGUCAAAAUAUACAGCUCAUUUUGCUUGUACAUGUACACAUGGUCAGCAUGUAUCCUGAUAUAUGUUUUCAUCCCAUGUAUAUAAUAUGUAUCUAGCUAGCUUGUCAACACUGUUUUAAUGAGCAUAUAAUACACAGGGAAGCAUCAGAGAACGCGGCGGUAGGUUUCAAGAAAUUCAGCAAUUCCAGAACAGUAAGUAAAUUUCACCACCUGGCCCUUCUGCAGUCCAUAGUAUUGAGCAAACGCAUCAGUUUCCAGCAUUCGAGGGAGCUGAAAGACAAGAUAAAAAUAGAGGUAGGUUGGUGUUCUACUUUGAUCAAUCAUGCAACAAAACUUAUGAGCAGUUACAUAGACAAACGAACACUGUUAUCAAAAAGAAUCCACCAUAUUCUUUACAUGGCAUACUUCUUUUCCUGAUUCAUGACACAUAGGCUCAUUGACGCCUCUUUCUAAGUCACAACCCAUUUUUAACAUAUUGCUCAGACUAAAGAGAUAAGCCAAUCAAGACAUAAGAGGUAGGCCCCAGACGUUCAAAGUCGAUGAUUUUUAUAUUUGUUACAGUGACUUUUGCUUUUCUUUUCUUUUUUAAUUUACUUUUUAAUUUACUUUUUAAUUCAAUUUUUUCUUAUUUUUUAAAAACAAAAUUAAGCGGUGCCAUUUUUAUUUUCGUGUAAAAAUUUUCAAUCUACUUUAUGUCAAAGUAGCAUUGUUGAUCUUUCACGGAUUGAUCCCACUGAUUGCAGUGUUGUGAAGCAGAUUGGUGUAGAAAAUAUUCACAACAUUUGUUUAGAAACUAUCGGCUUAGAAGCAGCUACGAGGUAUGCAAUGUGUUAAAUAAAAGAAAUGGCAAUUUUUUCAAUUCUGCAAAUGAAAUUCUAUCGAGCCAUUGAGUUUCUGAAAUAAACUAGUCAAAAUAUACAGCUCAUUUUGCUUGUACAUGUACACAUGGUCAGCAUGUAUCCUGAUAUAUGUUUUCAUCCCAUGUAUAUAAUAUGUAUCUAGCUAGCUUGUCAACACUGUUUUAAUGAGCAUAUAAUACACAGGGAAGCAUCAGAGAACGCAGCGGUAGGUUUCAAGAAAUUCAGCAAUUCCAGAACAGUAAGUAAAUUUCACCACCUGGCCCUUCUGCAGUCCGUAGUAUCGAGCAAACGCAUCAGUUUCCAGCAUUCGAGGGAGCUGAAAGACAAGAUAAAAAUAGAGGUAGGUUGGUGUUCUACUUUGAUCAAUCAUGCAACAAAACUUAUGAGCAGUU